UCUUUGCGUCCUCAGUUAUUAACAGCCAUGAGUCUUCAUAGCAUUUUACUCUGCUGGGCUUAUAUGGUCCUCAAAACCAAAGGUUAUAAAAUCUAGUUGGCCCCCAAGACACAAGAUGUUCCUAAUACAUUUUCCCCAGGUAAAUUGCCUUUAUUUUUAAAGAGUUGAUGUUAGGAGCUUUCUAUACUACUCCUCCCUUAAACCUCACAGUAGCCAUCAUUCAGUGAGCCAAACUUUAAGGGGUUAGGGCUGAAUUUUCAGAUAUUUGUUAUAUCUUUCUUUCCCCAUGGGUGGGCUGUCAUCCCUUCAAAGCCAGUGUUAUCUCCCAGCUGGAGCUAGAAGAGUUGUGGAUGAUGGGCUGGGCACCCCUAACAGCCACUUGUCCAGCUGAGAAAUAGAAGCAUGAUGUUCUUGGAAUUGGUCAAUGAAGAAGACAUUUCUUACAGUGUUGUCUGAGGAAUUCAUCUCAUAGUCAUAUCUAUUUUCACUUAUUCUUUAUCUUUCUAUCCUAUUAGUUUCUCCUUCAUAUUUCUGAGAGGAAGAUGUGUUCUUCCUUAACUAAGUUCACAUUUCCUUUUGUUUUCAAACUUCCUUCCCUUCUUUUCUCACUCAUCUCUUCCCACUCGUCUCUUUACUGUGGCUUGCAAGCAUGAUGACUCCUUCUCACUCCAGCAUUCU
rnacentral:lncRNA from 1 species